rnacentral:rRNA from 1 species
GAUGAACGCUAGCUACAGGCUUAACACAUGCAAGUCGAGGGGCAGCAUCAUCAAAGCUUGCUUUGAUGGAUGGCGACCGGCGCACGGGUGAGUAACACGUAUCCAACCUGCCGACAACACUGGGAUAGCCUUUCGAAAGAAAGAUUAAUACCCGAUGGCAUAGUUCUUCCGCAUGGUAGAACUAUUAAAGGAUUUCGGUCAUCGAUGGGGAUGCGUUCCAUUAGGUUGUUGGCGGGGUAACGGCCCACCAAGCCUUCGAUGGAUAGGGGUUCUGAGAGGAAGGUCCCCCACAUUGGAACUGAGACACGGUCCAAACUCCUACGGGAGGCAGCAGUGAGGAAUAUUGGUCAAUGGACGAGAGUCUGAACCAGCCAAGUAGCGUGAAGGAUGACUGCCCUAUGGGUUGUAAACUUCUUUUAUACGGGAAUAAAGUGAGGCACGUGUGCCUUUUUGUAUGUACCGUAUGAAUAAGGAUCGGCUAACUCCGUG